rnacentral:rRNA from 1 species
UAGGGAAUCUUCGGCAAUGGGGGGAACCCUGACCGAGCAACGCCGCGUGAGUGAAGAAGGUUUUCGGAUCGUAAAGCUCUGUUGUUAAGGAAGAACGAGUGUGAGAAUGGAAAGUUCAUACUGUGACGGUACUUAACCAGAAAGGGACGGCUAACUACGUGCCAGCAGCCGCGGUAAUACGUAGGUCCCGAGCGUUGUCCGGAUUUAUUGGGCGUAAAGCGAGCGCAGGCGGUUAGAUAAGUCUGAAGUUAAAGGCAGUGGCUCAACCAUUGUAGGCUUUGGAAACUGUUUAACUUGAGUGCAGAAGGGGAGAGUGGAAUUCCAUGUGUAGCGGUGAAAUGCGUAGAUAUAUGGAGGAACACCGGUGGCGAAAGCGGCACUCUGGUCUGUAACUGACGCGGAGGCUCGAAAGCGUGGGGAGCGAACAGG